rnacentral:rRNA from 1 species
UACGAAGGUCCCAAGCGUUAUCCGGAUUUAUUGGGUUUAAAGGGUGCGUAGGCGGAUUAUUAAGUCAGUGGUGAAAGCUCUCAGCCUAACUGAGAAAUUGCCAUUGAUACUGAUGAUCUUGAGUACAUUUGAAGUGGGCGGAAUGUGUCAUGUAGCGGUGAAAUGCUUAGAUAUGACACAGAACACCGAUUGCGUAGGCAGCUCACUAAACUGUAACUGACGCUGAGGCACGAAAGCGUGGGGAGCAAACAGG